rnacentral:lncRNA from 1 species
UGUAUUUGCAAAUACACUAUGAGGCUAGAGGUUGCCAGAGGCCAUUAGAGAGGAGGCAUGGAAAGCCCCCUGGAGAGCAAGAAGAAGGCUGGAACCUGGGCCAAGGCAGCCCAGGACUGAGAGCCAAGUAAGCAUGGGAAUUGUCCCAGCUAUAGUUUCUGGGAAAAUAAAUAGGCCUACCUGUUGACUUUUGACCUGCAGACUCCGUUCUUGCAAAAGGCAAACCAGACCAUACACUUUGGGGAUUCCCGCAAGAAGAUUCCUAAAACUGAAACUGGGGACUCUAGGAGGACACACAUCAUUAAGGAACUGGGCUUUCCUCUGAAGAGACUACCAAUUUGCAUUCCACCUACAAUGGAUGAGAAUCUCCAUCCUCCAAAGAUGAAAAAGAGGAUAUUAUCAUUCUUUUUAAUCUUUGCCAUCUGGAAGUUGCAUUCUGCUGAGCCCAGGAGUUAGAGAACAGACCACAGAGAUUUAAGUUCUCACUUGCGGGAAGUAGAUUUCAGUCCGCAUCCCAGCUCUGAAGCCCCAUUUCUCCUGGUGUAAAAUGAGCUGAAAGCAUCCUGGCUGAUUUCUGGAAAGUGUGAACUGUGAUAUUUCUGGAGAGCAAUCUGACUAUACACAUCACAAACUGAACUGCAUAUACUUGGCAAUACCACUUCUAGGAAUAUAUUUCAAAGAUAGAGAAGAUUGGAUGGACAAUGUAUAAAGAUAUUCAUGAAAUCAAUGUUUUUAACAACAAAAA